GUCAUUGGCCAUGCCACCCUGAACAGGGCCUGGCCUGGUUAGUACUUGGAUAGGAGACCACCUAGGAAGACCGGGUGCUGUAGGCA
rnacentral:rRNA from 1 species